ACAGCCCCCACCUUCUCCUUCCCCUCGCUCUAUCGUUCCCCUCGCUCUCUCCACUCCCUCUCCACUCCCGCACACGCAAAUCCCUAAUCUCGGCCGAGUCACCCACUCCACUCCCUCCGCUGUCGCCCCCACAGCCGCCACAACCAACGAACUCGUCUCCCACCGCCGCCCCCUCUCGUCCCCUCCCCUCUACUCAUCCGACGGCGCUGACCACGCAGAUCGAGCGACCAGGCGGCGGCCACAUGCGCACACAACCGGCGACCAACAUCACGCAAAGGUCACCACCGCCAUUGCCGAAGGACGGUCUUCUUCCAACGAGCUUGCGCGCCAGGAGAGGAGCGGGGAUCCUGCGCUUCUUCCUCGCUCAGCGCCCCUAUCGCCACGCCAUGGAUGGACCUCUCUCUGCUCUCACCAAUACCAUGUACCGAGCUCGCUCUCCUCCUCGAGAUAUUAUCCUCCAAGCUAUAUGAUAUGGACAACACGUGAUUUAUGGAACGAAAAGAGAUCAUGUCAUCCAGAUAAUUAGAUUUCACCGCAUGAUGUUCUUUACCCCAGCCGAGCAUAGUGUGCUGUCGCGCCGUCGAUUUCCACGAAGUGGCCAGCCCGAGCCGAUUCCCCAAUGUGUCAACGACUACGUCCACUGCGUGAUCCUGUGGGACAUGACCAAUCCACUGCCUCAUCAACACAUCGAGGGUGAAUUGAGUUCAGAUCUUUGAGCAAAGGAUUGCGAUUUUGGAGCUGCGGUGGGGCUAUUCUUUAUCAUUUGGAAGCACGCGAUCCGCGUGCUCGGCGCUGGCUGGCUGCGGAGCGAGGGGGCGCGGAUCGGUGACGUGGCGGUCUCGUGCCUGUCCUGUCCGUCGUGGGCUGCUAUGCGAGCCGACGGCCGUUUUCUUUUCUUUCUUUUUUUUGGAACUGCCGACGGCCGUUUUCGAAUCGCCGCCAGUCGGUUGGCUUCUUCAAGGUCAACAGCUUCUGCGAUCACUUUUCUUUUCACAUGAAUAGUAGAAUGCCAUUUGAAAUCUUUUUCUGAUGUUAUGUGUAUAAAAGAUAUUCACUACAAAGCAAAAAAUAAAAGAAAUCCACCUUACUUGGAAUGUGAGUUGAGUACAAAAAUGGUCUACUUGAUGCGUUCAAGACAUUCUCGUACAAUCUUAGAAUUGUUGUGUUUAGCUUCAUGUGCAUGACCGUUGAAGCUCCAAAGUAUCUCUCUCUUCAAGAACUGUAUGAUUGUUGAAGCUCCAAAAUACCUCUCCUUUCAGGAAUCCUACAAUUGUUGACGCUUCGAUGCAUAUUUUGGUGCAGUGCAUGAAGUUCAUGCGUUGCAUGAUUUCUAAGAUGAAUAUUAGAGUUGAGCUGCUUUUAUCUGAAUCUCUGAAUAAUGUAGUCUGUAUCUUUUUGUAUGUGUGAGAAAAUAUAGUUUGUUUAAGAGUUGUCUAGUUCGUUGGUUUUGUCAAAUUGAAAUUGUGCAAGAACUCAAACACUUGUGUGUUUCUUGUGACUCAUUGCAAAAUAUGAACAGAUAUAAAAUUUGUCCUUUGUUUUUA